GAUCCCAUAGUGUAGUGGUUAUCACUCCGGUUUCUGAAGGUUUUUUCUUAAGUCAUUAAGAGAAAUUCAACUGAAUAUGCUGGCAACUCGGGUUCGAAUCCCGAUGGGGUCU